GCAAGGCUAGCUCAGUUCCUAAAGCUCGAGAUUCUGGGUCUCAGGGCUGUGGGUUCGAGUCUCCUGCAUUGCA